CAGACGUUACCGUGUGUGUGUGUGUGUGUGUGUGUGUGUGUGUGUGUGUGUGUGUGUGUGUGUGUGUGUGUGGAAUGAAGGAGAGCAGGGAGUGGUGGGCCUGUCUGCACAGAUUCUCCACCCACACGCAUUGACUAAGUCGGGACAUGCCGUACAUCCGCAGUGACGCAUGCCUCGGUCCCCCAACCUCCCUUUGAAGUACAAAAUCAAUAGAUCGUAGGAAUAGAAUGCCCCCUUUAUUGAACUGAUAUGAGACGCACAACAGAUUGUAAGGAUUAUUAAUAAUCUGUAUGAACGUGUUCGUCUCUCCGUCAGUUUCUGCUUCGUUGGAAACAAUUCAACAGUUUUUCAGAGCUCAAACGCUGUAUUUUACAGACCAUGUGAUGACAUCACUGUGAUGUCAUCACAUGGUGUGAGGGAAGCUUUGUUUGGAAAACUUCAGAGACAAACGCAGAGCAGGGUGAAGAUAUGACAGCAAAUAACAUUAUGGAUUUGACUAAAAAAAAUGUGCUACAGUGUAUGUUAUUAUUACACCAGCGGUUCUCAACAUACGGGUCACGACCCAUGUUUCCUAAUACUCUGCUCCCACACCCUCCCUUUCCCUCUCUCUGGCUGGUGUUAGGUUCCUGGGAGCUUGAGGAGGACAAACAAAGCGUGUGAAAGUGUGUUAAAGUGGAGGUGUGUCCUUGUGUGUCCGCGUGUGUGUCCGUGUGUGUGUGUGUGUGUGUGUGUGUGUGUGUGAAUGUGUGUGUGUGCGUGUGUGUGUGUGUUCGUGUGUGUGUGUCGAUACCUGCUGAAUAUAAAACACCUGCCAUUAUUCAUCACACACAAACACACACAGACGCACACGGGCUGAACUCAGAGUGAUGAAGAUGAGGACUUUACUGUGUCAAAUCCUUCUUGGACUUCUCACCGUGGUGGAAUCAACUACAAUUCAGACACUUGUGACUAAAACCCAGAACGAGGAUGACGACAUUCUCACCGAGGCCGUUAAAGACGGAUACAUCGUGCGUCAGACUCCACCCCCUUCACCCAAGUCUCCAACGUCAGCAUCUCCACCCCUCCCUCUGAUGAUGGAUCUGCUGAGUCAUGAAUCCAGCGGUGACUCAGAGUCUGGAUCAGGAAAUUUUUCACAGUUUGAGACAAAAAACACAGUUCCCAUCACAGUGAAAAAUCUUUUAGAAUCUGAGCUGGAAGGAUCGGGAUCAGAGACUGGAUCAGGAACCGGAUCAGAAAUCAGAUCAAAGACCAGAUCAGGAAUAUUGAGGAAGGACGAUACAGCCAAUCAGCCCCUACAGGGGGAAGGAGCUAAACCUGGAGGAAGUGAUGAAACCAGUGAGCAGCACAAAGGACACAGCACGCCAGACUGGAUCAUCAUCGUGGCUUUCAUCGUAGCCUUAGCGGCUCUGAUUUUGUUGUGCGUCGCCAUCGCCACCAGAGAAAAGUGGAACGGACCAGCACACGCUAAAAGAAGAGCUCCGGUCCAGCAGGGGGCGAGAGAGACGCACACGCUCCUCAACACAACGAAUCCUGUAGAAAACGGAAAAGACGAGGAAUACACGCUACGUUUGAAAAACGUUCCUUCACACAAACACAGCGUGGAUCGUUAACGGGCGCCACAAAACACAACCAGCAACCAUCCAGGGAGCACGUUCCCACCCCACGCUCAGCCGGAUGGUUUCAGGUCAGCGUUUGUGCAGGAGAGAUCAAGGCAAGUCGUCAUGGAAACAAAAGAAA
ensembl:lncRNA CD44 antigen-like